UACGUAGGGUGCGAGCGUUGUCCGGAAUUACUGGGCGUAAAGAGCUCGUAGGUGGUUUGUCGCGUUGUUCGUGAAAUCUCACGGCUUAACUGUGAGCGUGCGGGCGAUACGGGCAGACUGGAGUACUGCAGGGGAGACUGGAAUUCCUGGUGUAGCGGUGGAAUGCGCAGAUAUCAGGAGGAACACCGGUGGCGAAGGCGGACCUCUGGGCCGUAACUGACGCUGAGGAGCGAAAGCAUGGGGAGCGAACAGG
rnacentral:rRNA from 1 species